GGAGAGGUGGGUGAGUGGCUGAAACCACCGGUUUGCUAAACCGACAUACGAUUUUUAGUCGUAUCGAGGGUUCGAAUCCCUCCCUCUCCG
rnacentral:tRNA from 1 species